UACGAAGGGGGCUAGCGUUGCUCGGAAUCACUGGGCGUAAAGCGCACGUAGGCGGCUUUUUAAGUCAGGGGUGAAAUCCUGGAGCUCAACUCCAGAACUGCCUUUGAUACUGAGAAGCUUGAGUCCGGGAGAGGUGAGUGGAACUGCGAGUGUAGAGGUGAAAUUCGUAGAUAUUCGCAAGAACACCGGUGGCGAAGGCGGGUCUCUGGGCCGAUACUGACGCUGAGGAGCGAAAGCGUGGGGAGCGAACAGG
rnacentral:rRNA from 1 species